UACGAAGGGGGCUAGCGUUGCUCGGAAUCACUGGGCGUAAAGCGCACGUAGGCGGAUCGUUAAGUCAGGGGUGAAAUCCUGGAGCUCAACUCCAGAACUGCCUUUGAUACUGGCGACCUUGAGUUCGGGAGAGGUGAGUGGAACUGCGAGUGUAGAGGUGAAAUUCGUAGAUAUUCGCAAGAACACCAGUGGCGAAGGCGGCUCACUGCCCGAUACUGACGCUGAGGUGCGAAAGCGUGGGGAGCAAACAGG
rnacentral:rRNA from 1 species